rnacentral:rRNA from 1 species
UACAGAGGUCUCAAGCGUUGUUCGGAUUCAUUGGGCGUAAAGGGUGCGUAGGCGGCGCGGUAAGUCGGGUGUGAAAUCUCGGAGCUUAACUCCGAAACUGCAUUCGAUACUGCCGUGCUUGAGGACUGGAGAGGAGACUGGAAUUUACGGUGUAGCGGUGAAAUGCGUAGAUAUCGUAAGGAAGACCAGUGGCGAAGGCGGGUCUCUGGGCAUCUCCUGACGCUGAGGCGCGAAAGCGUGGGGAGCAAACGGG